UCAGGCCUAACACAUGCAAGUCGAGCGCCCCGCAAGGGGAGCGGCGGACGGGUGAGUAACGCGUGGGAACGUACCUUUUGCUACGGAAUAGCCUCGGGAAACUGGGAGUAAUACCGUAUGUGCCCUACGGGGGAAAGAUUUAUCGGCAAAAGAUCGGCCCGCGUUGGAUUAGGUAGUUGGUGGGGUAAUGGCCUACCAAGCCGACGAUCCAUAGCUGGUUUGAGAGGAUGAUCAGCCGCACUGGGACUGAGACACGGCCCAGACUCCUACGGGAGGCAGCAGUGGGGAAUCUUAGAAGAUGGGCGCAAGCCUGAUCU
rnacentral:rRNA from 1 species